rnacentral:misc_RNA from 1 species
GAUGAAGAACGUAGCGAAAUGCGAUACUUGGUGUGAAUUGCAGAAUCCCGUGAACCAUCGAGUCUUUGAACGCAAGUUGCGCCCGAAGCCAUUAGGCCGAGGGCACGCCUGCCUGGGCGUCACACGUCGUUGCCCCCCCAUCUACUCCUUCGGGAUUGCGGGGGGCGGAUGAUGGCCUCCCGUGCGCCUCGCCGCGCGGUUGGCAUAAAUGCCAAGUCCUCGGCGACGCACGCCACGACAAUCGGUGGUUGCGAAACCUCGGUUGCCCGUCGUGUGCGGUCGUCGCGCAUCGAGGGCUCGAAAAAAUUGCCGGGUUCCGGCUCGGCUUUCAACGCGACCCCAGGUCAGGCGGGGUUACCCGCUGAAUUUAAGCAUAUCAAAAGCGGAGGA